AGCAGCCGCGGUAAUUCCAGCUCCAAUAGCGUAUAUUAAAGUUGUUGCAGUUAAAAAGCUCGUAGUUGAAUUUCGGGAUCGAAUUGUCGGUCGUGCUUCGGUACGCACUGGCAUUAUCGGUUUCUACCUUCUGAAGAACCGCGAUGUCAUUAAUUUGGUGUCGUGGGGAAUCAGGACUGUUACUUUGAAAAAAUUAGAGUGUUUAAAGCAGGUUUACGCUUGAAUACAUUAGCAUGGAAUAAUGAAAUAGGACGUUUGAUUCUAUUUUGUUGGUUUCUAGGAUCGACGUAAUGAUUAAUAGGGAUAGUUGGGGGCAUUAGUAUUCAAUUGUCAGAGGUGAAAUUCUUGGAUUUAUUGAAGACUAACUACUGCGAAAGCAUUUGCCAAGGAUGUUUUCAUUAAUCAAGAACGAAAGUUAGGGGAUCGAAGACGAUCAGAUACCGUCGUAGUCUUAACCAUAAACUAUGCCGACUAGGGAUCGGAUGAUGUUAAUUUUAUAAUGACUC
rnacentral:rRNA from 1 species